rfam:Schistosoma margrebowiei strain Zambia genome assembly, scaffold: SMRZ_scaffold0000079
AUCCAACUGACGAGUCCCAAACAGGAUGAAAUGAGUGUCCUGGAU